rnacentral:rRNA from 1 species
GAUGAACGCUAGCGGCAGGCUUAAUACAUGCAAGUCGAGGGGCAGCAUGAGUGUAGCAAUACAUUUGAUGGCGACCGGCAAACGGGUGCGGAACACGUACACAGCCUUCCUAUAAGUGGGGAAUAGCCCAGAGAAAUUUGGAUUAAUACCCCGUAACAUAAUGAUGUGGCAUCACAUUAUUAUUAUAGCUACGGCGCUUAUUGAUGGGUGUGCGGCUGAUUAGAUAGUUGGCGGGGUAACGGCCCACCAAGUCUACGAUCAGUAGCUGAUGUGAGAGCAUGAUCAGCCACACGGGCACUGAGACACGGGCCCGACUCCUACGGGAGGCAGCAGUAAGGGAUAUUGGUCAAUGGACGCAAGUCUGAACCAGCCAUGCCGCGUGAAGGAUUAAGGUCCUCUGGAUUGUAAACUUCUUUUAUCUGGGACGAAAAAAGGCUAUUCUUAGUCACUUGACGGUACCAGAUGAAUAAGCACCGGCUAACUCCGUGCCAGCAGCCGCUGUAA